UACGUAGGUCCCGAGCGUUAUCCGGAUUUAUUGGGCGUAAAGCGAGCGCAGGCGGUUGGAUAAGUCUGAAGUUAAAGGCUGUGGCUCAACCAUAGUAUGCUUUGGAAACUGUUCAACUUGAGUGCAGAAGGGGAGAGUGGAAUUCCAUGUGUAGCGGUGGAAUGCGUAGAUAUAUGGAGGAACACCGGUGGCGAAAGCGGCUCUCUGGUCUGUAACUGACGCUGAGGCUCGAAAGCGUGGGUAGCAAACAGG
rnacentral:rRNA from 1 species